rnacentral:rRNA from 1 species
GUGCCAGCAGCCGCGGUAAUACGUAGGCAGCAAGCGUUGUUCGGAGUUACUGGGCGUAAAGAGUGCGUAGGCGGUUUCCUAAGUUUGGUGUGAAAUCUCCCGGCUUAACUGGGAGGGUGCGCCGAAGACUGGGGAGCUAGAGGAUGGGAAAGGCAAGCGGAAUUCCUGGUGUAGCGGUGAAAUGCGUAGAUAUCAGGAGGAACACCGGCGGUGUAGACGGCUUGCUAGACCACCCCUGACGCUGAGGCACGAAAGCGUGGGUAGCAAACAGGAUUAGAUACCCUGGUAGUCC